rnacentral:rRNA from 1 species
UUUGAUCAUGGCUCAGAUUGAACGCUGGCGGCAGGCCUAACACAUGCAAGUCGAGCGGAAACGAGUUAACUGAAACUUCGGGGRACGUUAACGGCGUCGAGCGGCGGACGGGUGAGUAAUGCCUAGGAAAUUGCCCUGAUGUGGGGGAUAACCAUUGGAAACGAUGGCUAAUACCGCAUGAUGCCUACGGGCCAAAGAGGGGGACCUUCGGGCCUCUCGCGUCAGGAUAUGCCUAGGUGGGAUUAGCUAGUUGGUGAGGUAAGGGCUCACCAAGGCGACGAUCCCUAGCUGGUCUGAGAGGAUGAUCAGCCACACUGGAACUGAGACACGGUCCAGACUCCUACGGGAGGCAGCAGUGGGGAAUAUUGCACAAUGGGCGCAAGCCUGAUGCAGCCAUGCCGCGUGUGUGAAGAAGGCUUCGGGUUGUAAAGCACUUUCAGUCGUGAGGAAGGUAGUGUCGUUAAUAGCUGCAUUAUUUGACGUUAGCGACAGAAGAAGCACCGGCUAACUCCGUGCCAGCAGCCGCGGUAAUACGGAGGGUGCGAGCGUUAAUCGGAAUUACUGGGCGUAAAGCGCAUGCAGGUGGUUUGUUAAGUCAGAUGUGAAAGCCCGGGGCUCAACCUCGGAAUAGCAUUUGAAACUGGCAGACUAGAGUACUGUAGAGGGGGGUAGAAUUUCAGGUGUAGCGGUGAAAUGCGUAGAGAUCUGAAGGAAUACCGGUGGCGAAGGCGGCCCCCUG